CAGAAAGGAGUAAGGAUUAAUAAAACAGAA
rnacentral:piRNA from 1 species